UGGCUCAUAUUUGUCUGCUGUUGACCAACCCCCCAGGUCCUUUUCCGCCAGGCAGCUUCCCAGCUGCUCCUCCCCAAGCCCGCAGCAUCCCAUGGGGUUGCUGUGCCCCAGGGGCAGGACCCGGCACUGAGCCUUGUGGAACCUCAUACAGCUGGGCUUGGCCCAUCGCUCCAGCCUGCCCAGACCCCUCAGUGGAGCCUCCCUACCCCCAGCAGAUCAACCCUCCUGCCCAACUGGGUGUCAUCUGCAAACUUGCUGAGGGUGCCCUCGAGCCCCUCGUCCAGAUCAUUCCUAGAGAUCUUAAACAGAGCUGGCCCCAGUACUGAGCCUUGGGAGCAUCAUCUGUGACUGGUCACCAACUGGAUUUAAAACCAUUCACCACAAGUACAGCCAGUUUUUUACCCAGGGAGAAGUACACCUGUCGAAGGCACGAGCAGCCAGUCUCUCCAGGAGAAUGCUGCUGGAAGCUGUGAAAGGCACUACUGAGGCCUGCUUUGGCAAUAAGGUGGAGAAUGGGAUUUCUUCAGGAGUGAUGCUACAGCAGGCAGUCAAGCACUGAUUGUUGUCCAUUUGGACCAUCUGCAGCUCUCCUGAAGUGUCAAGACCCGAUUUACCAGGCGGGCCGUGUUCGAUGACAGGGACCUGGACACCAGGCAGGCGGCUCCGCCUGAGGCCCUGAGGGGGGACCGAGCAGCAGCAGGGUGGGCAGCCUGCACUCAUCUUCCACUGCAUCCCCAGUUUGUGUCACCGGUGGGAUCUGUGAGCACAGAGGCAGCUGAAAACACAAGUAGCAGCAACAGAAGUGGAACACAGUUAAAACGACAGCUUCACCUAGUCCAGCACGUUGUCUCCAGAAGCAGGUGGCAGAGGUCAGCACGACUGAAACUUGUCGUCCUCCGUUACCCUGAGUGCCCCAGUUUCUCACAGCUGAUUCACUAGCAACAUCUCGCCAGAAGCAGUUGCAUGCCAGCUCUGUGGAUGCUUUGAGCAGCCAUCAUAAACCAGACACUCCUGCCUGAGCACCUUUUCUGGACUUUCAUCUAGUGGAGCAUCUGAAAUUAGGCCCUACCCCCUUGUGUCUCAACACCAGGUUUGUCAUAGAAGCAGCAAAACAGCUGGAGAGAUUUUUCUAGUUCUGACGCUUUUCAGUAUGCUUGUUGUUGAGGCUUCUGGGCCACCUUCAUCAGAGCAACCAUCCGCGUCAUCCUGUUCUAACUGGAGCUGGGGACUGUAACAUGGACCCUCUGGGCAAUCUCAGCUGUAGGGAAAUGGGUGUGGAUUUCCUGCCCCCCCCCCCGGUGUAUGUGCAGUGGGUGGGAUGUUAUGGGAGGCUUUCAGGCUGGCAUGUUUAUAGCGUGUAUGAUACUAUAUGCUUUUGUCUGAGAAAAAUUAUGCUGAUGACCUGCUUCAAUUCUUACAAGGACUAUGAUGAUAUAAGAAUAUGUUUACUUUUGUCUAAAUGAUAACUAUUGCAUAUGUCCUAAUCAUGGCUCAGUUGUGUUAGGAAUAUAUAAGUACGAAGUAGUAAGUCCGGCCCAAGAAAACUACAAAAAUGUCUAAGUGUGGAGAAAAAGAAAUCUAUUUAAAUAAUUUUUUUUUAAAAAUUCCAUUUUAUAAGAGAGGCCCCAUGAAACACAUUGAGUCUGUGUAAGUCUACACUUGUGGUAACAAGUUGAACCAAGACUGUUCCUGUGGAGAUGCCAAGGUCCCUUUUCCAGCUGUACCGGCAAGUCAACAGCUGCAAAGGACGGAGACUGGGGCCAUGAGUGAGUGUGACACCAGCUCUUAGGAAAGGAAUUCUGCCCUCUUCCCCCUGAGGCUGCUUUUCUUUCUGUGCUGGCACAUCUUGGCGGUAUCCGUUGACCCAGACUAAGGAAAGCUUGUUUGGGCUACAUAAAAUGUGUUAAUUUUUUACCAUUUAAACUGUAUUUUAAAAAACUUUAAUCAUGUCAACAAAUUAUUUUUUUUUUUUUUUUUAAGCAGAGCCAAGUAAAGCCAAGAGGCUUAAGGUCUGGCUGGUACCAGUGUUGUGUGUUCCAGCAGCUGCUGAGCCGAGCUUCGGCCGUGCCUCGCUCCCCAGGUACU